UAAAUCCUGAAGUGUGCGUUGAGGUAGUGUAAUUCAACCUACGUGACAACAUUGGGAGCCCGGUGUUUUUGACAAGCCUAUGCCAGGCCGCCUCCGAGCGGAAGGCAGAAGCGGGAACAGGGCACCCCCCUAUUUUUCGAUAGGGUGUGAAUUAUAUCCUCGACGGCAUGUCGGGAUUUUU
rnacentral:other from 1 species